UGGAACUAGAAAAUAUAAUCAUGAGUGAGGCAAUCCAGACCCAAAAGGACAUACAUAGUAUAUAUUCACCAAUAAGUGGAUGGAUAUUAUCCCCAAAGCUCAGAAUACCCCCAAUACAUCUCACAGACCAUAUGAAGCGUAACAAGAAGUAAGGCAAAAGUAUGAAUAGUUCAAUCUCACUUAGAAGAUGGAAGAAAAUAAUCACAGGUGGUAGAGGGAGGAAAGGUGGGAGAGGAGAGGGGGAGGGAAAAGGUGGGACAGAUUCAGGUACAGGAAGAGACAGGAGAGAAGUCCAGAGGGCCAGGAGAAUGAAGAGAAAUAUGUAGCAGUUGGGUGUGGGGAACUGGAGGUGGGGCAGAAGCACUGCAAAGUCCCAGAUGCCAGGGAUGAUAGAGGCUUCCAUGACCCAAUGGAGAUGACCUUAGCCAAAAUACCCAAUACAGGGGAGAUAGAUCCUGAAGAGACCACCUCUAGUAGAUAGGCCCUCGGUUGAAGGAAUGGGCCACACACCCAUCUCAAAAUGUUUAACUCAGAAUUGUUCCUGUCUAAAGAAAAUGUAGGGACAAAAAAUGGAGCAGAGAAUGAAAGACAGGCCAACCAGAGACUGCCCUACCUCGGGAUCCACCCCAUCCACAGACAGGAAUCCCUGACACUAUUGCUGAUACCAAGAAAUGUAUCCAGACAGGAGGCUAGAAUGGCUGUCCUCUAAGAGGCUCUUCUGCCAGCAUGUGACUAAGACAGAUGCAUAUACUCACAGCCAACUAUUGGACUGAGACUGGGGACCUCAAUGGAAGAGUUAGGGAAGGACUGAAGGAGCUGAAGGGUACUGCAACCCCAUAGGAAGAACAACAACAUCAACUAACCAGACCCCUUAGAGGUCCCAGGGAUGAAACCACCAAAGAGUUUACAUGGGUCGGUCCAUGGCUCCCACUACAUAUGUAGCAGAGGACUGACUUAUCUGGCAUCAAUGGGAUGGGAGGAGCUUGGUCCUGUGGAAGUUUGUUGCCCCAGUGAAGGGGGAUGCUAGAGAGAUAAGGUGGUAGUAGGUGGGUGGGUGGGGGAGCACCCUCUUAGAGAAAAGGGGGAGGGGGAAAAGUGGGAUGAGGGAUUUGCGGAGGGGAGAUAGGAAGGGGGACAACAUUUGUAAUGUAAAUAGAUAAAAUAAAUAGAUAGAUAGAUAGAUAGAUAGAUAGAUAGAUAGAUAGAUAGAUAGAUAGAUAGAUAGAUGGAGGAAUACUCUGGACUCUGGAGGGUUUGGGGAAGAGAAAGGAGAAGAGAGGACUACUGUAAUUAAAAUACAAUCACAAAAAUAAACAAAAAGGUGACCUGGUUUUCUUUCCUGUUCUCUGAAGCUGUUGGGAGCCCCCUCUGGUUUUCCUCAAAAGCUUCAUUAUAUAAGCAAUGCAUCCUUUCAUAUCCUGUAAUGUGUAUAUUUUACCACCAGCCUCAAUAUUACUAGGUGUGUGUGUGGGGGGGGGGGCGUUGUGCACUCCCCUGCUUGAGAGAGACAACAAAGCUUUAGAGUUGAAUAUUGAAAAUGACUUCAUAACGUGAUAUAUGAGAAUGUGGUUAAGUUUAAUUUCAGAGCAGCCACAUGUGGAAUGGCAUUCAAUAUUGAAACUUAAAAAUACUAAACCUAUAAAUCUCUUAAGCCCCGGGAUGUGAAAGUUGUUUGACUUGCUUAAUGAUUCUGUAAAGACGUCAGGAAUAAAGUUAAAUGGCAUGGCUUGAGGGAUACAGAUGGAUAGAAUCCACAUAUCAUCUCACCUGAUCCAGGCCUUAGAAGCUGGAUCUAGGAGAAUAAGCUUGCACUAAUUGAUACAUUGGGAAAAAGGUCACAGAAUGAGGAACAGAUGUACCAGAGCCAGUAAUUGCUAGUGAAAGAAGAAGAAGAAAAAAAAUCAAACAAAACCCUUCCAUUCUAAGGACAACAGGCACAGAUACACUUUUUUCUCAUCAAUGAUUUCCAGCCAUUUGGUAUGUAUGGAGACUAUUCUUAAAUAUCUUAAAAUGUUUUGCACAAAUAAAACUGAGCCCAAAGAGAAUAGCAUAAGCAAUUCUGAAUGCAAUAAAGACUAUCUAAAUAAAAUGUCAAAAGCAAUACAGAGUCUGCUGGAGGAGUAGCUCCCCAGAGAAACAAACUGCAAAGAGGAACUUAACUUUUAUUCUGGGAGAUAUUGUCUUCUGUGAUUUCAAUAUCUUUUGCAACUGGGUCCCAAAUCUCUAUUUUUCAGGUCUUAGCCUUUUUCACAUUGGAGUGUUGUAUAACUAAUUGCCUUUCAUUUUGCCAAUUUUCUCAUCUUGGAAGCCCAGACUCAGCAUGCCCAAGCUGACUUCAGCUCCACCACAUCCACCACGUCCAUUCCUUACUCCACCUAAACAGCACCAGCAGCUAUUCAGGCUGCAGAGCCUGGAGGCCUGGAACCUUCUCUAGCCAUUUUAUUACCUCUUACUUUCUACUUCUGGUGAUUCAUAAAGCCCUAUUUUCUAAAGCUUGCACAUAAUUUGAGUCACUCUCUGCAUUGAGUAUCCAUUAUGACUGCAGGCUUAGUUUUCAAAGCUUGGAAGUGGUGAACCCUUUAGUAUGUGAACCUAGGUGGAAUUCAAUCAGAAGGCAGUUUUUAAUGAGGCUCCUUAUUAAUUUUCUAGAGAUAAUUGAUAAUUUUUUAAGGCUGUAUCUAGUCUCGUCUGGUCCUCUCAUUUCUGAUUCACAAUGUAAGGUCUUGCCACAACAUAAGCAACUACCGCUUCUAUUCACAUCUCAUCUCUCUGAACACCAAAACAAAGAUUCCUGAUUGAUUUGAGGACUUUGAAUGUCCAAAACUGUGAGCUAAAAAACAUCUUUUUAUGUAGCUAAGGUCAAAAUUUUAUGAUUGUGGAAAGCUGGCUCAUCAUUAUACAUAAAACUAGCAAUUGAAUAUUUUUUCACAUCCAUCUAUUCUUUUCUUUAUCCUCAGGACAGCAUAAUAUUAGGCUGCUCUUAUUUCUGACUUUGAAACACUACUGUAGCUUCCUAGAUUAGAUUUUCUCUAUUCUCUCUGACUUGUUUCACUUUAGAGAAUCAUCUCAACUAUGAAAAGUUGGAAGUCAUCUUCCUGUCUGGAUUCACCCUUUCUUUGUCUCCAUGAAAAGUCACAGGGGAAAAGAAGAAUGCGCAAGAAUGCAUUUUCAUUGAAUCUGUAGAACCCAGAUGUCCCUCAACAGAAGAAAGGAUACAGAAAAUGUGGUACAUUUGCACAAUGGAGUACUACUCAGCUAUUAAAAACAAUGAAUUCAUGAAAUUCUUAGACAAAUGGAUGGAUCUGGAGGAUAUCAUCCUUAGUGAGAGAGAAAAGCUUCUCCAGAAGAAAACUUUCUCAAGCACUCCCUAUGACUAAAUGAUAGCAAAAUGUAAAAUAAUGAUGGCGCUGAAGCGAGAACACACAGUGAAAGGAAGAGAAGUUCUCAUUUGCCAUCUCUCUGGCCCUUGCUAUUACAUGGAGCAUGGCAGAUAUCAGGAAGUCAACAUACUACUGAAGAAUGCUGGGGAAGUAAAGGAGAGUGAAGAAAAGCCACCACCUGAGGCAGAGAGAAAAAUAAAAGAGCUUUGGUGGCAUCCCUGAGAACAGUGGUCAGGGCUCAUCUCGGGCCAACUUUUGCCUGAGGAAGACAUAAGUGUCAUCGAAUGUAUUCUUUAUUCAUACCUUUUUUUUUCUCACUGAGAAAGUGAAGAGUAUAGAACGAAACCUUCAUAAUUCUGUUCAAGGAAGCUUCAUAUUCCUGGUAAAAUAUAGCUGAUAGAGAGAUGUCCUGUCUAAUAACCUUAGCCUUUUAGACCCUGCAGACCAUGCCAGGGACCUGGUCUAUGAUAGAAUCAAGUGGUUUGGUUCCAGUUUAAAUAGAAUCAAGAUAACCAGCUUA